rnacentral:rRNA from 1 species
CCGGCACGGGUGAGUAACACGUAUCCAACCUGCCGUCUACUCUUGGCCAGCCUUCUGAAAGGAAGAUUAAUCCAGGAUGGCAUCAUGAGUUCACAUGUCCGCAUGAUUAAAGGUAUUUUCCGGUAGACGAUGGGGAUGCGUUCCAUUAGAUAGUAGGCGGGGUAACGGCCCACCUAGUCAACGAUGGAUAGGGGUUCUGAGAGAAAGGUCCCCCACAUUGGAACUGAGACACGGUCCAA